rnacentral:rRNA from 1 species
GCGAAAGCAGGUCAUAGUGAUCCGGUGGUUCUGAAUGGAAGGGCCAUCGCUCAACGGAUAAAAGGUACUCCGGGGAUAACAGGCUGAUACCGCCCAAGAGUUCAUAUCGACGGCGGUGUUUGGCACCUCGAUGUCGGCUCAUCACAUCCUGGGGCUGAAGUAGGUCCCAAGGGUAUGGCUGUUCGCCAUUUAAAGUGGUACGCGAGCUGGGUUUAGAACGUCGUGAGACAGUUCGGUCCCUAUCUGCCGUGGGCGCUGGAGAACUGAGGGGGGCUGCUCCUAGUACGAGAGGACCGGAGUGGACGCAUCACUGGUGUUCGGGUUGUCAUGCCAAUGGCACUGCCCGGUAGCUAAAUGCGGAAGAGAUAAGUGCUGAAAGCAUCUAAGCACGAAACUUGCCCCGAGAUGAGUUCUCCCUGACCCUUUAAGGGUCCUGAAGGAACGUUGAAGACGACGACGUUGAUAGGCCGGGUGUGUAAGCGCAGCGAUGCGUUGAGCUAACCGGUACUAAUGAACCGUGAGGCUUAACCUUACAACGCCGAAGGUGUU